rnacentral:rRNA from 1 species
GACAGAGGAUGCAAGCGUUUAUCCGGAAUGAUUGGGCGUAAAGCGUCUGUAGGUGGCUUUUUAAGUCCGCCGUCAAAUCCCAGGGCUCAACCCUGGACAGGCGGUGGAAACUACCAAGCUGGAGUACGGUAGGGGCAGAGGGAAUUUCCGGUGGAGCGGUGAAAUGCGUAGAGAUCGGAAAGAACACCGAUGGCGAAGGCACUUUACUGGGCUAUUACUAACACUCAGAGACGAAAGCUAGGGUAGCAAAUGGG